rnacentral:lncRNA from 1 species
UCUGAAGUAGAGCUGUUAUAAAAAGCUGUUUGUUGUUUGGUAACUACAUUCGUAAAGUGCUGUGGUACUUUGUUUUGUGUUUGGUAAACAAACUGAGAAAGUACUUUUGUAUGACAAAAUUACCAUAAAGGAUAUUGCAUAGUAUUAUACAACAGAACAUAAUAAAACAUAACAUAAAUUAAUACAUAAAUAUACGAUAUAGUAUAAUAUUAUUGUAAUAUAAAAUAAUAU